UACGAAGGGGGCUAGCGUUGCUCGGAAUGACUGGGCGUAAAGGGCGCGUAGGCGGCUUGCACAGUCAGGCGUGAAAUUCCCGGGCUCAACCUGGGGGCUGCGCUUGAGACGUGCGAUCUUGAGUGGGGAAGAGGGUCGUGGAAUUCCCAGUGUAGAGGUGAAAUUCGUAGAUAUUGGGAAGAACACCGGUGGCGAAGGCGGCGACCUGGUCCUUGACUGACGCUGAGGCGCGAAAGCGUGGGGAGCAAACAGG
rnacentral:rRNA from 1 species